GUUCAAACUGAGAGUUUACAAGCAUCGGCAUAAACUAACUAGAGAAACCCUGCUGAAAUCGUUCUUCAUAGAGUCUCACACAAAAUAGAGCAUUCUUCCGUGGAUGAACUUCCUGCUUUUCUUCCCAUCCAGUUGGACUCACUGUAUUGGUUCACAUGGGCUUGAUCCCACAAGCACUGUUUUUAUGCACAAGAUCACUGGAUUUGUGUACCCAGCAACCAGUCCCCAGCCCCAGAUUGUGGAUUCCAACACCCUAGGAGCCUAAUGCACAAGGGCUGGGAAGACUUGGAGAUCACACUUUCAGUUCCACAGAUGAAUGGCACUGAGCUCUGCACAGUGGAGAAGACAGCCUGCACCCUGCCAUGCUUCUCGUCAUGAUGAUAAUGGAAAAAACCUCUGAAACUGGAAGCCAGCCCCAAUUAAAUGUUUUCCCCUAUAAGAGUUGCCUUCGUCAUGGGGUCUCGUCAAAGCAAUAUAUAUCCUAAGACAAGCAGGCUACUUAAAUACACAUAAAUUAUUCCUUUUUGUAAUUUAUUGUAAAUGUUCACAUUCUUAAACCAUCUACAUGUAACUAAUUUUCAAAAUUAAUUGACUCCAAGGACCAUGUAAUUGACCAAAAUAGUUAUCAGGUGCUUCACAAACAAUAGGCUCUUUCUUUAGAAUCUUUAAUUGCUAUGCGUGUUUGCUGUUGAUGAAUUGCCUGUUUCAAAAUACUUGAUAUAGCACAAAAAAUGUUUUAUUAAUAUAAUAAUAAAACAUGAUUUUUCAAAAAUAUAUAUGAUUAAAAUAAUAUCCUGUUUUUACAUUAAUAUUAGUACUUUCUACAGAGAAGAUGGGAUAUACAUAUAUAUAUAUUAAUUUACUACAGUAAUAUCAAGUGACUAAUUCAGUUAUUAUAAAUGAUACUUGUACAACUUCCAAAUCAGCACAGAUAUUUUAGCAUCAGUUUAACAUAAAAGGCAGCCUUCAAUAAUAAAUGAUUUUAUUACCCAACAUUUGUAUACCUGAAAAUUAUUUUUCAUAUUUAUAAUGUAAAAAAACUAAAAAUAAUAACUAAAUAUGAAUAUUCAUAAAAACAUGAGAAUAAACUGAAAUAAUAUAAUCAAAAGAUUAAUAAUUCAGUUAUAAUAUAUGGUGGCUUAAUUUUUUCUCAUAUUUUCAUUUCUAUAUUAUAGAAACAGAUUUAUUUUCUAAAUAUAUGUAAUAAUAAAUCCAUUUCUAGGUACCACUUAUCAAAAUAUUACAUCAAACAAUUUAGAAAAUUAACUAGACUAAGAUUAUGUAUUGUUAGAUUUUUUUAGCUCAAGUUUUCCAGUUAAAAUAGUAAAAAGGGAUUUAAGAUGUAUCUAUUUAAAAUAUUCAGCAAAAAGUCCGUGAAAUAAUUUAAAAUUAGAAAAAGUAUAAAAAUAUUUUAAUAUUUCAUAUAUUUGUGGUGUGUGCAUCCUUUAUCUUUACUGUCAAAAACUUUGAGUCUGUGUGACUGUGUGUUCCAGCUUCUAGAAGUUGAGAAGCCCAGGGGAAUGAAUACCCAGCAGAUGGUUUUGGAGACAUAGCACUCAAAUAGUUGAGUGGUUCCUUUACAUUGCCAUCUGCCAUGUAAUACUCUCAGAGAUUGAAAUCUUUCAACUAUAAAAUGUUCUGCCAAGAUUUUAGAAUGACUAUUAGGGCAAACAACAGGUGAGAAGAAUUCUGUAAUGGAUGAAAGGUCUCCAAAAUAUUUCUUAAUGCAUUUUUUUCUAGUAAAACAUUCAUAUGUUUAAAAUUAAUUGAAUGCAUCACUGUGUCAACCUUCAGCAGAACAACUGCAUUUACAUUUACAUAGCCAUCUGCGAGUGUUUGCAUAGUCAUACCUCCUGGGUUGUGGAAACCUAUUCUACAAAGAAUCCAGCAUUUGUAAGCAUACUUGAACACCUGUCAAUCAGUUCCUCUCUCUAGACACGCAGAACAAAAAAGCAGGGCGAAAAGAAAUACUCCUGGCUAUCCUAAUACAUCACAAGUUAUUCGUCGAUCCAAUCAAAAAUCUACACAACACUUUAGGAACCUUAAUUACAUAAGUUUUAAGAUAUUGGAAAUAUUCCUCCUAAGUGUUUUAAUUUUCUGUUAGAAUUGGAAAAAAUGUGUUUUUAAUAUAAAAUAAGUAUUGGAUGAUACAGAAAGUAAUUGUUAAUAUAAAAGUGUCUUGGAAAGAAAUGAGAGUGAUUCAAUACAGAAGUAUAGAUAUGAGCAUGAUCAUCUACACCACCUUUUUGUGAAAUAUUUAGUGUUUUGCCCUGAGUUCAUAAAAAUCAAUUUCCUUGUUAUCAUUAUGUAUAUUCAAGUUACAAGAAAAAUCUUUAAUCUUGUAAACUAGGAAGAAAAAAUCACAUUAAAAAAAGAAUGACAGUAUUGCCAUUAUAAUCAACAUGAUUUUAUAAUUAAAUGAUAUACAAUUAAUAAAGGCAUACAGCAAACUCAAACAAGAUACAAAAUAUUCCACUUUAUGUUAAAGAAUAUUAUAAAUAAAGCUUAAAACAGCUAAGGAAAUGUAAUUAAACCUUUACCACAGAAGCAUAAAAAUAUAUGAACAAAAAAGGCAAAAAUGAGGGCUGUUGGAGUUGCAUAUAGUUUAAAAACUUCACUGUAUAUGUGUAGAUCUGUUGAGACAAAGGACUUUUACUUUCAUACAGGUAUGAAAAUCUAUCAACAAAACUGUAAUUUAUUUAGCUAUCUGUGAUCUAUAACCACAUGCACAUAACAUAGUGGACAGUAUUUUGGCUAUUCUUCUUCUUAUCCACAUCACCAUUUCAUGUUACAGCGUUCAGUCUAUUAUUGAAAUAAAGCCUGUAAUGCUUGUAAAUCCUGUGAAGUCGGAGAUUCGGUCACAGGAAAAGGAGGCAAUUAAUCAACAUUGUCCUAAGAAUCUUUUUCUUAAGAGAAUUCUCAGAGUCAAGGUCUUAACAGGAUUUUUCUGUAAUGAGUAUAUAAUCAACAAUAUAAACUAUAUUAAUUAAUUAAUUAUAUCAUAUUAUUAAAUAGUUAUGUUAAUUGUAUUAAAUAUAUUAGUUAGAACAUAAUAUUUGAUGUUACUGUAAGAAUUAAUAGAUCCUAAAAUACAGAUGGGAAAAAAUGAAGUCACCUUUCAGCUGAGCAAUUUUAAAGGAGUAAAUUUAAAAAUUAUGCUAUUAUGACAAAAUCAAAAGUAGUCAUGUCUUGAUAUUUGGAAUGGAGGUGUUCUAGCAUCAAAUAUGGAUACAUUGUGCAAAUGGUAAAUCAUUUAAUAAAAUCUGGGCUGUAUUUGAAUAUAAAUAUUUGUCUUUUAAUCUAUACUUCAAACUUAAAAAUCCCCCUUAUUGGUAUUGUAUAAAAUACAAAUAAUGUACAAAAAAUGCAAAUAUUCUACAAAUUGUGAUUGUACCACACCAUUUAAGGAAUGUUGGCCAAAGUAUGUGCAUGUUCAAUAAAAAUAAAAUUGAUAUGUGUGUUUUCUUUUGUUUAACUCCAGUUGAUUAAAUUCCUGUCCAUGUGUAACUCAUUUACAUGAAAUGACAACUCUAGAGUGGUUAUGAAAAUGACUUUUUUUCAUGAGUGACUGAUAAUAAAAAUGCAUAUCUGGAUGCAAAGCAGUCUGAAUAUCUAUGUUUUUCUCACUGUUUAUAUCAUUAUAAGUAUUUGUCCUUUUUAGCAUAGUCACUGUGUGGUUUGGGCUAGUCUGGAGGUU
ensembl:lncRNA